AUUUCGAGAAAGAUCACUCCACAAAGCAGCCUUCUUCUUAUAUACGUAUUAUUCUAUCAAUCAAUAAGCACGGGUGGGGUUCCGUUCCGUAGUCGAACUCGAGGUGAGACUGAUCUCGUAGUCAGCUAGUGCGCUUAUCAAAGUAAAUCUGUCGUGCUUGAGGGGAGGCACGGAGUGAUUUGUUCAACGGAUUUCCCUUCAUAAACUGACUUGAUUGAUGCUACGAAUGAAAGCCUUUGAGAUAUAACACAGAGAAAGAAGAACCUAUUCUAUUACAAAUGCAGUUAUGUACAAGGAUAGGUGAUAGGUUGGUCCAUAGUAGAGUAGCAAUGACAACUGCUACUAG
rnacentral:lncRNA from 1 species